UGUCCAGACUCCUACGGGAGGCAGCAGUGAGGAAUAUUGGUCAAUGGGCUUACGCCUGAACCAGCCAAGUCGCGUGAGGGAAGACUGCCCUAUGGGUUGUAAACCUCUUUUGUCAGGGAGCAAUUGGCGCUACGUGUAGCGUUAUCGAGAGUACCUGAAGAAAAAGCAUCGGCUAACUCCGUGCCAGCAGCCGCGGUAAUACGGAGGAUGCGAGCGUUAUCCGGAUUUAUUGGGUUUAAAGGGUGCGUAGGCGGAAUGCCAAGUCAGCGGUAAAAUCGCGGGGCUCAACCUCGCUCCGCCGUUGAAACUGGCGUUCUUGAGUGGGCGAGAAGUAUGCGGAAUGCGUGGUGUAGCGGUGAAAUGCAUAGAUAUCACGCAGAACUCCGAUUGCGAAGGCAGCAUACCGGCGCUCAACUGACGCUCAUGCACGAAAGUGUGGGUAUCGAACAGGAUUAGAUACCCCCGUAC
rnacentral:rRNA from 1 species